GCUGUCACCCAUUCGCUCUGAAAACGAGUCCGCCUGGUUAGGUCCGAUCGCACUCUCAAGGUCUUGCUUCCUCUAUGGUUUUAGAAUCUCAUCAUAUUGGGCGUGCGACUUGCAUGGAUUUACCCCUACAGUUCUAGCGGAGCACAACCAGUCGAUGGGAAUGGCACCAUGUCCACUUUUAACAACGUGCGGUUCAGAACGAGCCAGAGGUCUUUCCCGGUCCAAUUCUCUACCUCAUAUUAAUGACCGAUAUGCCAGAUUACGUUGGAGUUGGUGAGAACGAAACAUUGGAUAUGCAGACGAUACUGCAAUCUGGGUGGUUGCAGAUGACCUCAAAUCUCUCAAGACUCUCCUCGGCUCAAGAGCCUCAACAUUCUUACGCUUUGCCACAAAAAAUAGUCUGGUGAUGAAUGCUACCAAAACUCAGGUCAUGAUUAGUGGAAAUUUCAGGGCUUAUGACGUGGCUGCCUUCUCUGACUGUGAAUGGUGCCAAGGGGUGGCCAAAUCCUAUCUACACGUGCCGCUUUGAUCCAUAAAUACGCCAUCACUUACCAAGGGGCCAGUACUUGAGCCAAUUGAUUGGAAAAACUAACCAUGCCCUGGCGAUUUUUGCCCAUCCACGCUUUGAAAAUGACGAAGCUGCACCUUCAAGCGCUUUUUAGAAAUUUCAAGUGGCCAUCAAAAACGUGGCACGUUCCAUCACAGGAACGAAAAUAACCGACAAACUGAAGAUUUUAUGAUCUUGGCCAGAAAUCAGGACUCUCCUCAAUCAAUGGGUUUACCAGCAGAGCCAUUGCAAUUGAGGGCUGGAAGGCCCACCAAAGUACGGACGGGGCAAACGGCGACAUGAACUUACUUGGACGGGUUAUGUUUCCUUGUAUUGAUUCCGGGAGAGACCAUGUGAGAUGCCCCCGCUCCAAGACGACGGAUCUUAACAACCACUGAGCGGCCCAACACAUUCGCGGUACAUGCUUUCACUGUGUGGAACAAGUCUGAGAACCUCCGGAAUGCCUUUAACAAGCACAGAGCUCAAACCGUUGCACUAACCCUGACCAAGGAAGCCCCCCUCUUGUCAACAGCGUGACUUGUGAUAAGGCUGUCGAACAUUUGACCUUGUCUACGGGCAUUAUUAUUUCUAUUUUUCACUCUUUUAAUAUCUACUGAUUAUGUUGCCCAAGCACUACGAGCUAGCAUGAACCAUUCUAGUUGCAUAGUAAAAUGCUGGUCCCAAGGACAAGAAUAAUGGCGAUUAAACAUACACACACACACA